rnacentral:lncRNA from 1 species
GAUGCUUAGAAAAUACAUCAGAGGAGGACAGAAACUCAGAUAUCUCUGCAUCCUGAAUUCAUUGGUGGAAUUGCUACUGUGCCCAGUAAAAGCAUUUCAGUCAUGCAAGGAGAGGAUGUUAAGGUAAAGGAAUGAAACCGAAGACCAGAAAGUGGUAAAAAGCAGCAGUGAAGAAACCAAAACUAAAACAAACCAGCAAAGACCAUAUUCAGCUCACAGCCUUUCAGGAACUGAAGUAGAUCAUUGGCCCAGACUCUCCACUGAAUCCGAAGAAUGCUUUGCAGGGGAUGUUCAGAGGCUUACCUGAGAAUGAGAGAAAAAGAAAUGAGCAAAUGACUCCUGAUUAUCAGUGGGAGACAGGAAGCGACCAUUUAACAUCCAAAGGAAAACUCAGAGGUUAAGCAAUUCAUCUCCUAGUUUUUACAAAUUGUCACAACUCUCCAAAAAUUUUCUGAUAU